ACACAGGUGGGUUGGUUGAAUAUACCAAGGCGCUUGAGAGAACGGUGUCGAAGGAACUAGGCAAAUUGCUCUCGUAACUUCGGGAUAAGAGAGACCCGGCUUAGCGCAAGCUUUGUCGGGUGGCACAAAAAUGGGGGUAGCGACUGUUUACUUAAAACACAGGGCUCUGCGAACUCGUAAGAGGACGUAUAGGGUCUGACGCCUGCCCGGUGCC
rnacentral:rRNA from 1 species